CAGCCGCCGCGGGAAUACAGAGGGUGCGAGCGUUAAUCGGAUUUACUGGGCGUAAAGCGUGCGUAGGCGGCUUCUUAAGUCGGAUGUGAAAUCCCUGAGCUUAACUUAGGAAUUGCAUUCGAUACUGGGAAGCUAGAGUAUGGGAGAGGAUGGUAGAAUUCCAGGUGUAGCGGUGAAAUGCGUAGAGAUCUUGAGGAAUACCGAUGGCGAAGGCAGCCAUCUGGCCUAAUACUGACGCUGAGGUACGAAAGCAUGGGGAGCAAACAGGAUUAGAUACCCCCGUAGUCCCUGUCUCUUAUAC
rnacentral:rRNA from 1 species